AUACGGAGGGUCCGAGCGUUAUCCGGAAUCAUUGGGUUUAAAGGGUCCGUAGGCGGGAAUCUAAGUCAGUGGUGAAAUCUUGCAGCUCAACUGUAAAAUUGCCAUUGAUACUGGAUUUCUUGAAUUAGUGUGAAGUGGUUAGAAUGUGUAGUGUAGCGGUGAAAUGCAUAGAUAUUACACAGAAUACCAAUUGCGGAGGCAGAUCACUAACACUAUAUUGACGCUAAGGGACGAAAGCGUGGGGAGCGAACAGGAUUAGAUACCCGAGUAGUCC
rnacentral:rRNA from 1 species